AUGUACAUUCCUACAACAUAGCAUUAAUGCAUCAGAUCCCAUUAGAACUCUGCAGUUAAGCAUGCUUAGGCUAAAGUAGUAUUGGGAUGGGUGACUUCCCGAGAAGUCCUAGUGUUUUACAUG
rfam:Picea glauca, whole genome shotgun sequence.